rnacentral:tRNA from 1 species
ACAAAACCGACCUUAGCUCAGUUGGUAGAGCGGAAGACUGUAGUAGUAGCUGUAAUCUUUAGGUCGCUGGUUCGAUUCCGGCAGGUCGGAUUUUUUUCAUCUAUUUGGAAAAUUCUGUCAAUUUUUU